AGAGUUUGAUCAUGGCUCAGAACGAACGUUGGCGGCGUGGAUUAGGCAUGCAAGUCGAGCGGAAAGGCCCCUUCGGGGGCACUCGAGCGGCGAAAGGGUGAGUAACGCGUAGGUACCUACCCCAAGGACCGGGACAGCCGCGGGAAACUGCGGGUAAUACCGGAUAAUAUCCUUCGGGAUCAAAUGGUGUGAUUCCGCCCUGGGAGGGGCCUGCGUCCUACUAGCUAGUUGGUGAGGUAACGGCUCACCAAGGUAAUGAUGGGUAGCGGGCGUGAGAGCGUGGCCCGCCACACUGGGACUGAGACACUGCCCAGACUCCUACGGGAGGCUGCAGUCGAGAAUCUUCGGCAAUGGGCGAAAGCCUGACCGAGCGACGCCGCGUGCGGGAUGAAGGCCUUCGGGUUGUAAACCGCUGUCAGAGGGGCUGAAAGCCACGGGGGCUAUCCUCCGUGAUUGACAUAGCCUCAGAGAG
rnacentral:rRNA from 1 species